AAUUAUUAGCGGUUCGACUACUUAUAUUUCAGGUAUAAAAAAACCUGCCCUGAGGCAGGUUUUUUAU
rnacentral:sRNA from 1 species